GAAACCUGGUUGAUCCUGCCAGUAGUCAUACGCUUGUCUCAAAGAUUAAGCCAUGCACGUCUAAGUAUAAGCGAUUAUACUGUGUAACUGCGAAUGGCUCAUUAUAUCAGUUAUAGUUUAUUUGAUGGUCCUUGCUACUUGGAUAACCGUAGUAAUUCUAGAGCUAAUACAUGCAUAAGUCCCCGAUGCUUGGA
rnacentral:rRNA from 1 species